GUCACCUGGAAGUAGAACCUGAGAAAAAGACUGGAGUAUAUAUAGUUCCUUUGUGAGGUUGACCCCUGAAAGCAGAAGUGAAAGAACAGGGAGGGCAGGAGGAAGGAAACCACCAUAAAGGCAUGAACAGUCCAAAGGGACUGAUUGGCAGCAGAAGCUUCAGAACACGACUGGGAAAGCCUGACGGAGGAUGAGAGACAUGUGGAGCAGAGCUGAGCUGUAACAUUCAUCUACCAGCCAACGUACAACAUGGGCAACGCCAGCCAAGACCAGAAACCUGCCUAGACGAUUCCCAGCUGGCUCUAGAUGUCCAUGAAGUCCAAGGAAAUGCAAGUUCUUGGAAAUUAGAAAUUAUACAACAAAACAAAACAAAACGGAUAAGACCAGCUUUAGAGGUUGCAUGGAAU